CCUACGGGAGGCAGCAGUGGGGAAUAUUGCACAAUGGGCGGAAGCCUGAUGCAGCGACGCCGCGUGAGGGACGAAGGCCUUCGGGUUGUAAACCUCUUUCAGCAGGGACGAAGCGUGAGUGACGGUACCUGCAGAAGAAGCACCGGCUAACUACGUGCCAGCAGCCGCGGUAAUACGUAGGGUGCGAGCGUUGUCCGGAAUUACUGGGCGUAAAGAGUUCGUAGGCGGUUUGUCGCGUCGUUUGUGAAAACCCGGGGCUCAACUUCGGGCUUGCAGGCGAUACGGGCAGACUUGAGUGUUUCAGGGGAGACUGGAAUUCCUGGUGUAGCGGUGAAAUGCGCAGAUAUCAGGAGGAACACCGGUGGCGAAGGCGGGUCUCUGGGAAACAACUGACGCUGAGGAACGAAAGCGUGGGUAGCAAACAGGAUUAGAUACCCUGGUAGUCCACGCCGUAAACGGUGGGCGCUAGGUGUGGGUUCCUUCCACGGGAUCUGUGCCGUAGCUAACGCAUUAAGCGCCCCGCCUGGGGAGGUACGGCCGCGAGACGUAAACUUAAACGUAAGUUAGUACGGCGUGAGACGUGCCGAACGGACGACGACGAGGGAGUAGG
rnacentral:rRNA from 1 species